rnacentral:sRNA from 1 species
UAUAGUCGCAACGUAUCCUCAUCGGGCUUUGUUGCGGCUCUUCUUAAGAAAAAGUACUAGGAGUGAAUAGUGGCCCGUAUAGCAGGCAUUAACAUUCCUGAUCAUAAAC